UACGUAGGUGGCAAGCGUUGUCCGGAAUUAUUGGGCGUAAAGCGCGCGCAGGCGGCUUCUUAAGUCCAUCUUAAAAGUGCGGGGCUUAACCCCGUGAUGGGAUGGAAACUGGGAGGCUGGAGUAUCGGAGAGGAAAGUGGAAUUCCUAGUGUAGCGGUGAAAUGCGUAGAGAUUAGGAAGAACACCGGUGGCGAAGGCGACUUUCUGGACGACAACUGACGCUGAGGCGCGAAAGCGUGGGGAGCAAACAGGAUUAGAUACCCUGGUAGUCCCGACUC
rnacentral:rRNA from 1 species